GCAAGUCGAGGGGCAGCAUGGAGGUAGCUUGCUACCUUGAUGGCGACCGGCGCACGGGUGAGUAACGCGUAUCCAACCUGGCCCUUAGUAGGGGGAUAGCCCGGCGAAAGUCGGAUUAAUACCCUAUGUUAUCCGAAGCUGACAUCAGACUUGGAUCAAAGAUUAAUCGCUAAGGGAUGGGGAUGCGUCUGAUUAGCUUGAUGGCGGGGUAACGGCCCACCAUGGCCACGAUCAGUAGGGGUUCUGAGAGGAAGGUCCCCCACAUUGGAACUGAGACACGGUCCAAACUCCUACGGGAGGCAGCAGUGAGGAAUAUUGGUCAAUGGUCGCGAGACUGAACCAGCCAAGUAGCGUGCAGGGAAAAGACGGCCCUAUGGGUUGUAAACUGCUUUUAUGCGGGGAUAAAGUGGGCCACGUGUGCCAUUUUGUAUGUACCGCAUGAAUAAGCAUCGGCUAAUUCCGUGCCAGCCGCCGC
rnacentral:rRNA from 1 species